GGCAGGGCCUCGCUCUGCCUCCUCCGUGGUCCGUCCAUCCUCGUUCCUGCCCCCCGACCCCUCCCCUCUCAGCCUCCCAUUGGCUGGCACGGUUCCGUGGAGGGACUCCGCGUGGCAACCUGGGCUGACCUCACACUGGUGGCUCCAAGGCAGAACCAGAGGCUGGGCAGGGGGAACGGCUCCUUUGGCCCGCAGGAUACGAGAGGACGGUGCUGGAGUGAUGGGCCAGCCUCGAUGUUCCUUCGCCUUCCUAAUUUUGUUUUUAACGGGAUGGCCGUUGCGUGUGUGCUUGCCUGAUGCCGGCGAUAGGAAGGGUGACGUACCUGAGCCAGUAAAGGACGUCUCGGCGCGUUCGCCGGCCCCCAGCGCCAGCACCUGGGAGGCAGGUGGGUGGCACGGCCCCGGGCUGCCCUGUGGGGUCCUUUCCUCCCAGCACGAGCCCCCCUGGGCCCAUCAGGGCAGCCCUGAGCUGUAAACAAGGCCACUGUCCUGGGGUUCGGGCGACGGUGGUGGCAGGUGCUGCCGCCCUGGAAAAGCAGCCUGGCCAGUGUGGCUCAGGGACGCACGUCUCCACAGGGCAAGGCGGGCAGGUGGGAGGGGAGCCCGCAAUGACGUGGAAAUUCAGAUUAUCUCUGUUCACACAGGCUGGGCAAUCUCGCCUCCUUAUUUUAUUUUAUUUUUAUUUUUUACUUUAUUUUAUUUUAUUUAUUUUAUAAAUAGUUUUUUAUUGUUGAUGGUAUUACAGAUGCCUCCCAUUUCCCCCCUCCUCCCAGCCACUAUCCACCCCCAGGGUUUCAUCGUCCUAUUGCCUGUGUCCAUGGGCUGUGCAUAUAAGCAUAUACGUUCUUUGGUUUAUCUCUUCUCGUCCCCCCGCCCUCACAUCAAGGUAUGUUAGUCUGUUCCCUGCCUACCUGCUUCCGGUCUUCUCCUAUUGGUCAAUUCAUGUUGUGUAUUAUAUUGCACAGGUAAGUGAGAUCAUGUGAUAUGCCUCCGUAUUUUAAAAUGCUAUUUUAAAAAAUAUAUAUAUAUAUUUCUGUUGAUUUCAGAGAGGAAGGGAGAAGGAGAGGGAAACAUCAAUGAUGAGAGAAUCAUUGACCCGCUGCCUCCUGCGCACCCCACAUUGGGGAUCCAGCCAUUAACCCGGGCAUGUGCCCUGACCGGGAAUCGAACCGUGACUUCCUGGUUCAUAGGUUGAUGCUCAACCACUGAGCCACACCGGCCGGACUGAUAUGCUAUUUUUUUAUGGUAUUUCUGACUAUAUCUCCCAUUCCCCUUUGUGACAACAGUAUGACUAACGACUAUAUAACUGACAGGCACAGCGACAGUGAACUUAGAUGAGAACGUCUUUUCUCUCCCUUUUAGUGCCGAGUCAGCAUCGACGUGCUCUUGUUCGAGUGGUUACCGUCGCAUGCGCGGCCUUGAGCGUGGCCUUGGUCUGUGGGGUUGCUGUUUCCUACGUGCUAUACCGACUGGGACAGGAUGAGGAGAGGGAACAGCUUGCCGCGCUUUAUGAAAAUAUCGAGAUGCCACUGUCCGGAGACGAAGAGGAGGCCUUCAGGGCCGGGCGCCCAGGCAAGGCCGGGUAUCUGCUUUCGGGGAACGAGAAGGAGCUGGCGGAGUUCAUUAAUUCAGCCAUUAGAUCAAAAAGGAGAGAGCAUCUCGAAGGAGCAGGAUCGGAGAGCGCGCAAAAGCAGUAGAGGAAGCACUACGCUGAAUGCCGGGCCCCUUGCAAACGUGGGAAACCGUGAAAGCCAGCGAGAGAGCCGCAGGCCGCGCUGCCCCGUGUGGGGAACACAGGGUGGGACGUCAGCCUGAGGACAUGUGGACCCUCAGGGAAGAGAACUAUAAAUAAAUCACACAAAAUAAAUCCGCAACAUAGUCGUCCGUGCCUCUUAGCUCUCAUGGUUCACGAAUAAUUAUAGUGUAACAGGAAAGAGGAGAAUCCAACUUUGUAAGAAUGAACGAGAAAUUGUCU